GACGUGGCUGGCCGGUCUGCCUUCUGGUAUGCACUGGUCGGGUCGUGUCUUUCCUUCUGGCGAGCCGGCAUGCACUUUAUUGCGUGUGUCGGGGAACCAGGACUUUUACUUUGAAAAAAUUAGAGUGUUUAAAGCAGGCCUACGCUUGAAUACAUUAGCAUGGAAUAAUAGAAUAGGACUUUGGUUCUAUUUUGUUGGUUUCUAGGACCGAAGUA
rnacentral:rRNA from 1 species